UUGGAACACCGGUUCUCGUACAAUCACCAAAGUUAAGCAACGUCAAGCCUGGUCAGUACGUAGAUGGGUGAUACCUUGGGAAUAUCUGGUGUUGUAU